AGUGAACGCUGGCGGUAGGCCUAACACAUGCAAGUCGAACGGCAGCACAGUAAGAGCUUGCUCUUACGGGUGGCGAGUGGCGGACGGGUGAGGAAUACAUCGGAAUCUACUUUUUCGUGGGGGAUAACGUAGGGAAACUUACGCUAAUACCGCAUACGACCUACGGGUGAAAGCAGGGGAUCUUCGGACCUUGCGCGAUUGAAUGAGCCGAUGUCGGAUUAGCUAGUUGGCGGGGUAAAGGCCCACCAAGGCGACGAUCCGUAGCUGGUCUGAGAGGAUGAUCAGCCACACUGGAACUGAGACACGGUCCAGACUCCUACGGGAGGCAGCAGUGGGGAAUAUUGGACAGUGGGCGCAAGCCUGAUCCAGCCAUACCGCGUGGGUGAAGAAGGCCUUCGGGUUGUAAAGCCCUUUUGUUGGGAAAGAAAAGCAGCAGGUUAAUACCCCGCUGUUCUGACGGAACCCAAAGAAUAAGCACCGGCUAACUUCGU
rnacentral:rRNA from 1 species